rnacentral:rRNA from 1 species
UACGGAGGGGGCUAGCGUUGUUCGGAAUUACUGGCGUAAAGCGCGCGUAGGCGGAUCUGCAAGUCGGGGGUGAAAUCCCGGAGGCUACAACCCUCGGAACUGCCUUCGAUACUGCGGGUCUCGAGUCCGGGAGAGGUGAGUGGAAUCCUAGUGUAGAGGUGAAAUUCGUAGAUAUUAGGAAGAACACCAGUGGCGAAGGCGGACUCACUGGCCCGGUACUGACGCGUGACGG